rnacentral:rRNA from 1 species
UACGUAGGGGGCAAGCGUUGUCCGGAUUUAUUGGGCGUAAAGAGCGUGUAGGCGGUUUGGUAGGUCCGUUGUGAAAACUCGAGGCUCAACCUCGAGACGCCGAUGGAAACCAUCAGACUAGAGUCCGGAAGAGGAGAGUGGAAUUCCGUGGUGUAGCGGUGAAAUGCGCAGAUAUCAGGAAGAACACCCGUGGCUAAGGCGGCUCUCUAGUACGGUACUGACGCUGAGACGCGAAAGCGUGGGGAGCGAACAGG